rnacentral:lncRNA from 1 species
AUGGCUGAAGGGUCCAAUUGGAUUAUGACUCUGGUGAAGAUUCCAACUUGGACUAGGACUCUAUGGCAGAGUCCCACUGAGACUGAAACUCUAUCAUUUAUAGAGAAUUAAUUAGUAAUUAGAUUACUAAUUGACUUAAUUUGAUUGAGUAAAGAGCUUUGGAAUAAGUCUAAUUUAAUUAGAUUCAGUUCGACUCAGAUUGUGAUUGAUAUGAUCAAACCCGAUUAUAAGAAAAAUUUGAUCCUGAUUC